CCCUAGUAACUGCGAGUGAAGCGGGAAAAGCUCAAAUUUAAAAUCUGGUGGUCUUUGGCCAUCCGAGUUGUAAUUUAGAGAAGCGUCUUCCGCGCUGGACCAUGCAUAAGUCUCCUGGAAUGGAGCGUCAUAGAGGGUGAGAAUCCCGUCUUUGGCAUGGACCCCCAGGGCUUCUGUGAUGCGCUCUCAAAGAGUCGAGUUGUUUGGGAAUGCAGCUCAAAAUGGGUGGUGAACUCCAUCUAAAGCUAAAUAUUGGCGAGAGACCGAUAGCGAACAAGUACCGUGAGGGAAAGAUGAAAAGCACUUUGGAAAGAGAGUGAAACAGUACGUGAAAUUGUUGAAAGGGAAACGCUUGAAGUCAGUCGCGUCGACCGAGACUCAGCCUUGCCUUGGCUUGGUGUACUUCUCGGCUGACGGGUCAGCAUCAAUUUUGAUCCUUGGAUAAUGGCAAGGGAAAGGUAGCACCUUUACAGGUGUGUUAUAGUCCUCUGUCGGAUGCAAGGGUUGGGAUUGAGGAACUCAGCAUGCACCUUGUCGGUGUCGGGGCCUUGGCCUACGUUACGUGCUUAGGAUGCUGGCAUAAUGGCUUUAAACGACCCGUCUUGAAACACGGACCAAGGAGUCUAACAUGCACGCGAGUGUUCGGGUGGAAAACCCGUGCGCGUAAUGAAAGUAAAAGUUGGGACCUCUGUCGUGGAGGGCACCGACGCCCGGACCAGACCUUCUGUGACGGCUCUGCGGUAGAGCGUGUAUGUUGGGACCCGAAAGAUGGUGAACUAUGCCUGAAUAGGGUGAAGCCAGAGGAAACUCUGGUGGAGGCUCGUAGCGAUUCUGACGUGCAAAUCGAUCGUCAAAUUUGGGUAUAGGGGCGAAAG
rnacentral:rRNA from 1 species